GAUAAAUAAUUUGAGCUGUAUGGAUUUUUCGUCCCACCAAUUCUUGGAAAUUGAAACAUUGUGUUAACAAUAGCAGCAAUUGGACAUCCUCUUAUGUUAUAACACACCAACUUGUAAUUCUGAUUAUAUCCAUGGGUGAAAAAACUUCUUCUGAUACAUCUUUUUCUUUUCAGUUUUACAUGUAAUUUUAGAGAAUAAAAUCUGGUUCUCCACUGGUGUUUGGUAGAGCACUAUGCUAAUAGAAUCAACAACCUAUUCACUUUGUUUAGUAUUCAUUCCUGCCUUCUGAAAUAUUAGCCAACGCUCCCUUUUCCUCUCUACUCUAUCUAUGGUGGCGCUUCAUCGACUCUGCGGGGAGCGGCCGCCAUGAAAACGAUGCCGACCACCAUGGCCCGCCCAAGCUUGCCAUCGGCCGCGAGACCAUCACUGUUGCUGCCUCGCAGCAGCUUCACUCACUGCCAGUAUCUUUGACGGAGGGAUGGGCCACCAACGAGCUCCUCAAUUUCUACCAAAUUCCAGGAGGCAUUUCGACUCAGAAGAAAGGAGGAGCGGAUUCAAGAGCUUCUUCAUAUGGACAAUGAGGUCGAGCUACAGAUGUGAAACGUGGCCACAAACAGCUUGAGGAACUUUGACAAUAAAGUGAAAUUCAGUUACAAUAUGCAGAGGCAGGAGGUCCACCACACAAAUACAGACACCACACUGAAGCUCAUGAAGGAUCAGAUAAUAAUGGCAAAGUGUAUGCCACCAUUGCCUGUUCUAGGACGAGUCCGACUUGUAUGGGUCGAUCAUGAAGUGCAUAAUGGAAAGCAAAGCUUCUAUUGGGGAUGCAUAUAUGGACAAUGAGCUGGAUUCAAGCGCUUUACAGAGAGCAAAAGCAAUGGGAUGUGUUAUCUUCGGCUGUUCUGUACAACUCUGGUGAAGUAUCGAGAAUAUUGUGUGUUAUGCCGCAGUCUGCGGAACUCAAUAUUGACAUAGUCAAGAACCAAAACACGUUCCUGAUUCAGCAUGCUGCAAAGACGGUUCCCAUGCCCUUGCAGUGCCUACACGUGCAGUUAAUAACCGACUAUUAUUUCCGUGAUGGUGUGAUCAAGGAGUAUCUCAAGAUGCUGCUUUGAAGGAUGAGGAAGAUAAAGCAAAGCACCAGGAUCACUCUAUGACUAUGCUAUAUUUUCUGAUAAUGUCCUUGCAGCCUCGGUAGUUGUCAGAUCAACUACGACACAUGCCAAGGAGCCAGGUGAGUAUAUCCUGAUACUUAAUGGGAUUUUUUUGCUGCUAGGUGUGUGUUGCGUAUUCAAUCUUGCAAAGAGAAUGGCUGAACUAUCUGAUACAAAAUAUUCAAAAAGAUCAAUCAAUUGAAUUUUCACCAAAUACAAUCUUGUGAUUCUUGAAAAGCCAACUGGUCUUCUCUCUCAUUCUACAAAAUAAUUCCUCUUGGAUAGUUCUCUAUGCUGUCAUAUACCUCACAUUGGUCCAGUUUCCUUUCGUUGCAUCGAAGAGGUAAAAAGUACACAAUUUUUCUCCAUGUUAAUUUGAUGUUCAGCACAUUAUUAUCAUAUUUAGUCUCCUGGAACUUUUCGUUUGCUGUAAGUCAUUGCUAUUGCUAUUUCGCAUAAAAUUGAAAUUUCUAUCAAAAGAUUUGCCUAGGUCCUCAGAAAGUGUGACUUCUAUUUAGAUUUUAAUCUUGAUACUGGAGCAACUCAAAUGCUUACAUAUACCGUUUUAGCUAAACCAGCUCCCUUUUGUACACGUAUACGGGACUACAGUAUAGAUGCUGAUGCAAUGUGUCCUGUUUUAUUUUUCAUUUCCUAUAGAUGAUGAUGCAAUUUCUUCUUUUUGAUAGUAAACGGUAAUCCAAAAUUUCUUAAAGCAUUGCUUAUUUGUUCUCUUACAGUGCAAAUAACAUCACAGGAGAGUUGCCUUCAGACUUUUGCAGGCUGUAGUAAAUUUCUUGGUUCAGUGGCAUGUGAAGAAAAACUGAAUAAUUCCUUAACAGAAGCAGCAAGGAUCCUGUCAUGUGUCAUCGGUGGACUGCUACGGUAAAUAUGUUCUCUGAAUUACGUAGGGCUGAAAGAGAAAAAUGUACAAGUCGUUUUUUUUUUGCACCAGUACUACAUAAACAUAUCUGGGGGCCAUUGAUGCCUUAAAAGAAAGAACACAUGAAAGUAUUUGUAUCCAUUUACUGAAUAUGGUUCCGAGUCCUUUAUUUUGAGAUUGAUUGUAGUGCAUGGAAGCUCCUCUUAUAGUGAAACAAACAUGCAUUCUGAUAGCAUGAACUCUUUUGAUAGAUGUAAAACAAUUUGAUACCAUGGAGACAGUAACACCAUGCAUCUCUUCCAAAGUAUGUCAAGCAUAAUUUUUGGAUGAAAAAAUAUUCCAGACUCAGCAAUUUGCCGGUAGCACCAUGCCCACCUCAAGCUUACCAGGUAAACUUCAGAAGUGGCGUGACACAAAAGUGUAUAACUAACCGGUUCUCAAUUAACCUAAGCAGUAGGUUUAUCUGAGACUUUUACAUCUGUGUGGUAUUGGAUUGAUCAAAUGAAUGAGAAACUGCCUAAAUCUUUCUCAAUUAAUUUGGAUUGGAGGGAGUAUUAUUUUGCUAGGUUAUUCUUACCCAUGAGCAUUUACUUUUGAAAAGUUAUGCCUCUCUCAUGUUAUCCAGAUUUAAUUCAUUGUUGAUAGAUGAAAAGAACACCUGCACAACUUCAAGGCUUGAUUAUUCGGAAUCAUAUGUAUUGUUCACCUCUUCUUAUAGGAUGUCCAAACAAAUGGACAUCAUUUACCAGCGUAGUGACCAUACGUUUUCAAACUUGAGAAUUGAGUUACAGUCAUAGCCACUUAUUUAAUAGAUACUUUUCAAAGACGGAAAUCCCUUUUUUGCCAAUUGCUAAAUCUGGUAUAUUUUGUCAACUAUUCAUCAACCACUUAGUGACAUAUAAUUUAACAUGUCUCAUGUAAUUGUGCAGUUCGAUUGAAGAGCAGAUUAAGCUUGACAAGGUGUUUUCACAGUAGUUCCUUCAUUACUUCAAUGUCCCCAUAGAUGAAGAUUCGGGAAUUGCGUCAACUUAGUUCUCUAACAACGCUCGCAGCCUCUGAAGAACUUAUCUAGGAGGCUUUGUUUCGAGGGAGUGUGAUAGUCAGCCUAAAGUGAAAAGGAAAAAAAUAAUUAGAAGUACAUCAUUCAGCCUUGAAAAUACAAAGUUUGCUUUUAAGUUGAUAAGCUUGCAAGUUUAGCCCUGAGAUGUUGUAUGUAUCUCCUUCUAUCAUUAUCUUCCAGUUUGUAUUACAUGUGACAUGAAUUGUUUACGUAGAAUAUGGAUUAUGAUAUAAAUUUUAUUAGAGGUGUUCAUGCAUAGACUUGCAGGUUAUUACUUCGCCAUUGUGUUCAUUUCAUGUAUAUAUCACUGAGUUUUUUAUUUUUCCUGGAUAAACAUGUUACAAAGUUAUUUCCAUCUUUUUUCUAGACAUC